rnacentral:rRNA from 1 species
ACAAGUAGCGGAGCAUGUGGUUUAAUUCGAAGCAACGCGAAGAACCUUACCUAAGCUUGACAUCCCAAUGACAGCUCCUUAAUCGGAGAGUUCCCUUCGGGGACAUUGGUGACAGGUGGUGCAUGGUUGUCGUCAGCUCGUGUCGUGAGAUGUUGGGUUAAGUCCCGCAACGAGCGCAACCCUUGUCUUUAGUUGCCAUCA